rnacentral:rRNA from 1 species
UGGGGAAUUUUGGACAAUGGGCGAAAGCCUGAUCCAGCAAUGCCGCGUGCGUGAAGAAGGCCUUCGGGUUGUAAAGCACUUUUUGUCCGGAAAGAAAUCCUUGGCUCUAAUACAGUCGGGGGAUGACGGUACCGGAAGAAUAAGCACCGGCUAACUACGUGCCAGCAGCCGCGGUAAUACGUAGGGUGCAAGCGUUAAUCGGAAUUACUGGGCGUAAAGCGUGCGCAGGCGGUUUGCUAAGACCGAUGUGAAAUCCCCGGGCUCAACCUGGGAACUGCAUUGGUGACUGGCAGGCUAGAGUAUGGCAGAGGGGGGUAGAAUUCCACGUGUAGCAGUGAAAUGCGUAGAGAUGUGGAGGAAUACCGAUGGCGAAGGCAGCCCCCUGGGCCAAAUACUGACGCUCAUGCACGAAAGCGUGGGGAGCAAACAGGAUUAGAUACCCUGGUAGUCCACGCCCUAAACGAUGUCAACUAGUUGUUGGGGAUUCAUUUUCCUUAGUAACGUAGCUAACGCGUGAAGUUGACCGCCUGGGGAGUACGGUCGCAAGAUUAAAACUUAAAGGAAUUGACGGGGUCAUAGCUGUUUCCU